AUAGCUUUUAAGAUAUUCCUCGAUUAUUUGAGUUAUUUUAAAGAUAUUUGCAAGUUCUUCAGGAAGUGGUUGAAAGAAUAUAUAUUAAUUGUAAUGUUAUAUAAAAAAGAUUCUUUAAUAUUUUAUUAAUAUCUGACAGAAAUAAACCAAUUUGACACAUGAUGAAAUAGUGCCCUCUGUCUGAAUGAUUAUUAAAAUAGCCAAAUAACCACAAAUUCCUUAAAACCAAACUGUUUUAUUAUUUUAUUCUAUAAGAACACUCUGUGAAUGGAAUUGAGAUCUAUAUAACCGGGAUUUUGCAUUACUGGAAUACUUCUAUAAGAACAGUAAAGGUUCUUAUUCAAUUUCAACUGUAAUUGGUCGUUUCCAUACACAUCAACAAGUUGUACGAUAUAACAUGUAAUUAAUAAAUUUAAUAAACUUUC